rnacentral:rRNA from 1 species
AUUGAACGCUGGCGGCAUGCCUUACACAUGCCAGUCGAACGGUAACGGGCCUUCGGGUGCCGACGAGUGGCGCACGGGUGAGUAAUACAUCGGAACGUGCCCGAUCGUGGGGGAUAACGAGGCGAAAGCUUUGCUAAUACCGCAUACGAUCUACGGAUGAAAGCAGGGGACCGCAAGGCCUUGCGCGGACGGAGCGGCCGAUGGCAGAUUAGGUAGUUGGUGGGAUAAAAGCUUACCAAGCCGACGAUCUGUAGCUGGUCUGAGAGGAUGAUCAGCCACACUGGGACUGGGACACGGCCCAGACUCCUACGGGAGGCAGCAGUGGGGAAUUUUGGACAAUGGGCGCAAGCCUGAUCCAGCCAUGCCGCGUGCAGGAUGAAGGCCUUCGGGUUGUAAACUGCUUUUGUACGGAACGAAAAGCCUUCUUUUAAUACAGGAGGGUCAUGACGGUACCGUAAGAAUAAGCACCGGCUAACUACGUG